rnacentral:rRNA from 1 species
AAGAAAAACAAGGUCCACGCCCCCGCACAGCUCGCUCGAUCCCCUUUCCCCUCUCGCUUUCCUGUCUCUCUCUCCACAAAACACCGCCGCCGCCGCCGAUUCCUCCUGGGCAUGGCCGUCUCCGGCGCUGCCAUCAAUAGAAGCGACUCCACCUCGCCCCACUCUACCGAUUUCCCGCCCAGCCGCUGCUCUACGCCCCCGCUUGCGCCCGCACAGAUAACCCUAGAGAGUAGGUCGUGGGGGAGGACGGAGAGGUCAUGGGGGAGGAAGAAGAGGAGGACGGAGGCCACAGGGGAGGAAGAAGAUGGCCCCCUCAUUCCCGAAGUUGGUCUUCGCAUCAACUGCGCUCGCUCCGCCUCUGCUUCCAGCGACCACGCCCGCCACAGUCUGUCACACAUAUCCAGUUGGAAUGCUAUGGCAGGGUUAUUAGCCAGGCAUGAGGCCUUUUGUCUUCUUAAAAACUACUUGGUUGGAAUGAUUGACGUGCCAUGCCACCGCUGCACUGAGUAGCAGCGACGACGGCUGGUGAGCAGCAACCUGAGGUGCCGGUGUUAAGCGCGGAUGGCCAGAUCUGUGCGGCGGAGGGCGUGGCCGAUGCUGGGAUGGAGGUCUUGCUGCCGGCCUCCAAGCAGUCGGUAGGCGCAAUGGAUCCUAAAGCUCCAGGCUGGAUCAAAAGUUAUGUCGAUUUGCAGUGUUACAUGCUCAUUGUGACUGAAAACUGGACUUAUUAGUGUAGGCAUAAACAUUGCAGGCACUGAUAAGAAAAGAUAUCUUAAACAAGUACUGCACCUUGAGAUCUAGAUGAUUCUGCAUUUAGUGUUAUGAUCUGUAGUUAUAGCUGAUACUACUAAAUGCUCAGAUGUACUUGUAUCUUUAAAAAUCAGUGAUUUAGCGAACAUUCUGCCAAUUGACACAUGAAGCAGAGUAUAAGAAGUUAUAGCAUGUUACAGAUAAACCAGAGGAAUUGGCAUGUAUAUGCGUGUGUUCCUGAUUUUGUAGGGUACCUUACAGAUUCAGUUGGGAUAUGUGGUCAAAGAUUAGGACACUAAUAUCAGUGUAGGUUACAUUUAUAGUUGCUUAAUUCAUGAUGCGCUCGUCUCGCCAUUUUCAUUCUGUGCGUGUAGGGUGAGGAUUGGGGUGGAAGCACCUGUGAGGACACCUUGUCCCAGUCAAGCACGAGCUGGCGGCGCAUAUGUUAUCCAGGAUCCUGCUCAGGGGUUUAGCCAUCGGCGACGAGAUCCAAAAGAUGGCCACGGCGGCAGUGGUGGCGGCAGUUGCCCCGGGUGGUGAUGUAGAGGGGAGGUACCAGUAGCAGGUGAGCACGAAGAUCUCUGAGAUUUUCUUCUGCAUUUGUUUCGUGCGCACACAUAAAUGGAUGACUCUUCUUCUUGGAGCCCUAGGUUGUGGCAAAACCCCCUAUUGCUAGCACUUGCAGGAAAGCUCAACCAAAACCAAAAGGCGCGACCGUUGGUGGUUUUCUGGUGGUACCUCAAGGAGACCUUCUUCCCAGGUGACCCAUUCCACGUGGCGGUGCCGGUGUGUGAGCGAGCUGCCAGACCGCACGUGGCGGCGGCGCUUCGAUACUUCUUCCCGUUCCUGGAGUGGGCGCCAGCCUACGGGCUGGGCAACUCAAGUCGGACCUCAUCGCCGGUACUUCUUCUGGUUCCUUGAAGUUUGAUAUCCAUGCCCCCUUGUUAGAGCGGUGGAGAGAGAUGCGACAUGGAGUGAGGGAACUGUCGGCACCGGCAUAAGAGCUUCAUUCGGAUUUAUGUGAAUAUAAGCGUAAGAGGUCCACUGGGAAUGAUACAAAAUAAUUUCAGACGUGAGUAUCCGGAUCGCAUUGCUACUGGUCGUCUCUUGCGAUGGCGUACAGCGGGCUUUUGACAAAGCCAAGUCAUGGCCUCAUGAGGAUGCUUUUGGAUUAACUGUAGUGCAUUGUACCGUUUUAUGCUCCAUGCGAGAGUUGUACAUAUCCUCAUUAGAUGUACCCCUGCCUAUGAUGGUUCUGAACUCAAAUAUUAGAGUAUCUGUAUAUUUGAUCAAUGUGGUACUAUUAUAUCCUAAUGUUAUAACAUAUAUGCCCGUAUUGAUAUACAUGAGUGUGAUUAAGA